rnacentral:tRNA from 1 species
GUUUCCGUAGUGUAGUGGUUAUCACGUUCCCCUAACACGUGAAAGGUCCCUGGUUUGAAACCGGGUGGAAGCA